CCACCCUUUCCCUCACUCCUUGCCCCACUCCCUUCCUUUCCCUGCCCAUCGCGGGGGGCUGGGGGCCAAUCGGCUCCUGCAGACGAUCAAAUGUCACUAUAACUUGAGAGCAGCAGCACCCCAGGACGCCUGCACAUCCCAGCCCGUCCCCUCCACAGGGAGUUCCACGCCUGCCUCCGCACCUCCCGAAACUCACUGCCAACAUGUCUGAUACCGAGGAAGUGGAGCACGGAGAGGGUAAGUCCAAAUCUCUAAUUUCUUCUGUGCAAGUCUGUAGUGUUCACUGUCUGUCUUCUCCUUUCUGCCUAUCGUUGGUCUCUUACUGUAAUGUGCUGGUGCUUUACCUGAUGUCUAAGUAUGUGUCGUUGUCUUUUUUGCAUGUCAGUGUUUGUCUGUCUCUGUGCUGCGGGCAAACGUUGGGAUUUCAGUCCAAAACUGACGUCCUGACUGUGUGGGGGGGAUGCUGCUCUUUUUUUGUAGGGGCACUGCCAUCUGCUGGCAACUUAUUCUGAUAGUGUUGCAGACAUAUAGUUUCUGUCUUAAAACAUAGAAAUGCAGCAUACUUAAGCAACAUAUGUUUUUUUUCUUUUCUGUUGUUUGUUUGUUUUUUUUUUAUAUACUCAUUGGACCUCCCUGCUACCUCUUUCCCCUAACAUGCUUGUACACAUGAGCUUCCAUUGCUCAAGAAAAAAAUUCAGUACAAUAUUACCCUGCUCCCAUUGUACACCUUCUUCUCAAAGGCAGCUUGUUUGCUGUUUCUCUUUUUGAUUUGAAAGCGAAUCCUUUGAGGGCAUCUUGCCCAUAUCCAUGUGAAUUUAAAGGGUUCUAUCAUGGGUGACAUCCUACUGAUGUGUAACCUGUCAUUGGCUGUGUGUUAGGUGCUAAAGUUGAUGAUUGUCUGCUUUUUUUUUUCUUCUUUUUUUUUU